GAUGAACGCUGGCGGCGUGCUUAACACAUGCAAGUCGAACGGUGAAGCAGGAGAUUGCUCUUGUGGAUCAGUGGCGAACGGGUGAGUAACACGUGAGCAACCUGCCCCUGACUCUGGGAUAAGCGCUGGAAACGGCGUCUAAUACUGGAUAUGUGAUGUGACCGCAUGGUCUGCAUCUGGAAAGAAUUUCGGUUGGGGAUGGGCUCGCGGCCUAUCAGCUUGUUGGUGAGGUAAUGGCUCACCAAGGCGUCGACGGGUAGCCGGCCUGAGAGGGUGACCGGCCACACUGGGACUGAGACACGGCCCAGACUCCUACGGGAGGCAGCAGUGGGGAAUAUUGCACAAUGGGCGGAAGCCUGAUGCAGCGACGCCGCGUGAGGGAUGACGGCCUUCGGGUUGUAAACCUCUUUUAGCAGGGAAGAAGCGAAAGUGACGGUACCUGCAGAAAAAGCACCGGCUAACUACGUGCCAGCAGCCGCAGUAA
rnacentral:rRNA from 1 species